rnacentral:rRNA from 1 species
CCUACGGGAGGCAGCAGUCGAGAAUCAUUCACAAUGGGGGAAACCCUGAUGGUGCGACGCCGCGUGGGGGAAUGAAGGUCUUCGGAUUGUAAACUCCUGUCAUGUGGGAGCAAAUUAAAAAGAUAGUACCACAAGAGGAAGAGACGGCUAACUCUGUGCCAGGAGCCGCGGUAAUACAGAGGUCUCAAGCGUUGUUCGGAAGCCAUGGGCGUAAAGCGUGCGGAGGCGGUUUCGUAAGUCGUGUGUGAAAGGCACGGGGUCAACCCGCGGACGGCAGAGGAUACUGGGGGACUAGAGAAAUGGAGGGGGAACCGGAAUUCUCGGUGUAGCAGUGAAAUGCGUAGAUAUCGAGAGGAACACUCGUGGCGAAGGCGGGUUCCUGGACAUUAACUGACGCUGAGGCACGAAGGCCAGGGGAGCGAAAGGGAGUAGAUACCCCUGUAGUC